UACAGAGGUCUCAAGCGUUGUUCGGAUUCAUUGGGCGUAAAGGGUGUGUAGGUGGCGCGCUAAGUCGGGUGUGAAAUUUCGGAGCUUAACUCCGAAACUGCAUUCGAUACUGGCGUGCUUGAGGACUGGAGAGGAGACUGGAAUUCAUGGUGUAGCAGUGAAAUGCGUAGAGAUCAUGAGGAAGACCAGUGGCGAAGGCGGGUCUCUGGACAGUUCCUGACACUGAGACACGAAAGCUAGGGGAGCAAACAGG
rnacentral:rRNA from 1 species